ensembl:snoRNA
GCACCUGAAUCUUUCCCAUUCCUGCUGCUUCAUGCUGGCGUGGGGACAGAUGGUGCAACAGUACAAGCAGAGUAAAUCCAGACGGGUCGUUUCCAUUUUUCUUGGGGCUUGUCUCUACAGCUCUGCCAUACUU